rnacentral:lncRNA from 14 species
UGCUGGAAUAGGUUUGCAUUUCUCCAUGCAACUGCAAAUAAUCCUUGGCAGCCUUGUCCUGGCUCACAGCAGUAAAGGAACAACAGAAUGUAGGAGUUUACAUGCUGGCAAGGUUGAUCCAGCCUUGGGAAUGAAAGACGGUGGAUGGCAGCAGCGGACUCUUAUGGAGAGGCUCCAGCUCAAGUGCUUGGCCCCAGGCUGGUGGAUGCUCCUGCAGAGGGUAUCCUCCUCAGCACUGGAAGGAGACUAUCCCAUUGCCAG